rnacentral:rRNA from 1 species
AGUGAACGCUGGCGGUAGGCCUAACACAUGCAAGUCGAACGGCAGCACAUUAAGAGCUUGCUCUUACGGGUGGCGAGUGGCGGACGGGUGAGGAAUACAUCGGAAUCUACUUUUUCGUGGGGGAUAACGUAGGGAAACUUACGCUAAUACCGCAUACGACCUACGGGUGAAAGCAGGGGAUCUUCGGACCUUGCGCGAUUGAAUGAGCCGAUGUCGGAUUAGCUAGUUGGCGGGGUAAAGGCCCACCAAGGCGACGAUCCGUAGCUGGUCUGAGAGGAUGAUCAGCCACACUGGAACUGAGACACGGUCCAGACUCCUACGGGAGGCAGCAGUGGGGAAUAUUGGACAAUGGGCGCAAGCCUGAUCCAGCAAUACCGCGUGGGUGAAGAAGGCCUUCGGGUUGUAAAGCCCUUUUGUUGGGAAAGAAAAGCAGCAGGUUAAUACCCAGAUGUUCUGACGGUACCCAAAGAAUAAGCACCGGCUAACUUCGUG